rnacentral:tRNA from 1 species
UUCCACGUGGCUCAGCUGGUAAAGAAUCUGCCUGCAAUGCAGGAGACCUGGGUUCGAUCCCCAGGGAGGGAA